rnacentral:rRNA from 1 species
UAACGCGAAGAACCUUACCAGCCCUUGACAUGGCAGGACGACUUCCGGAGACGGAUUUCUUCUCGCAAGAGACCUGCGCACAGGUGCUGCAUGGCUGUCGUCAGCUCGUGUCGUGAGAUGUUGGGUUAAGUCCCGCAACGAGCGCAACCCUCGCCCUUAGUUGCCAUCAUUCAGUUGGGCACUCUAGGGGGACUGCCGGUGAUAAGCCGAGAGGAAGGUGGGGAUGACGUCAAGUCCUCAUGGCCCUUACGGGCUGGGCUACACACGUGCUACAAUGGCGGUGACAGAGGGCAGCUACUCCGCAAGGAGAUGCUAAUCCCUAAAAGCCGUCUCAGUUCAGAUUGUCCUCUGCAACUCGAGGGCAUGAAGCUGGAAUCGCUAGUAAUCGUGGAUCAGCACGCCACGGUGAAUACGUUCCCGGGUCUUGUACACACCGA